rnacentral:rRNA from 1 species
UACAGAGGGUGCGAGCGUUAUUCGGAUUCAUUGGGCGUAUAGCGCAUGUAGGCGGUUCACUAAGCCUGAUGUGAAAUCCCAGAGCUCCAAUCUGGAAGUGCAUUGGAUACUGUCGGACUAGAGUGCAGGAGAGGAGAGCGGAAUUCCUGGUGUAGAGGUGAAAUUCGUAGAUAUCAGGAGGAACAACAGUGGCGAAGGCGGCUCUCUGGACUGUUACUGACGCUGAGAUGCGAAAGCGUGGGGAGCAAACAGG